rnacentral:misc_RNA from 2 species
AACUCUCAAACAAGAUAGAUUUGUUUUUAUCUCUGUUUGGAUUUUGGGCUCUGCUGCAUCAAUGCAGCUGGCCUUAAAUAUAUUAGCUGAUCCUAAUGAAAGUUUGGUUCUACUCAGCAUGAUAAUUAUCUGAUGUUGAGGACAGUCUUUAGGGCUGGCCAUGCUCUCUCUGGAUUGCUUCUAAUCGUCUUUGGACAAUCAUUCAAU